rnacentral:rRNA from 1 species
GUGAUGUUCGGGAGUGGUGCAUGGGUAGUAGGUAGGGGGUGAUCGUUGCUCGGGUUUAUUGUGCGGAAAGUGGGGGUCGGGGGGGAGAGAGGUCUGCGGGGAAAACGCGAGGCGCAACCUCGGGAUGUCGGCGGAAACCGUCUGGUGAGAGUCCGGAAGAGGAGAGUGGAAUUCCUGGUGUAGCGGUGAAAUGCGCAGAUAUCAGGAAGAACACCUAUGGCGAAGGCAGCUCUCUGGGACGGUACUGACGCUGAGACGCGAAAGCGUGGGGAGCGAACAGGAUUAGAUACCCCAGUAGUC